rnacentral:rRNA from 1 species
GUCCACGCUGUAAACGAUGUGCACUAGGCGUGGGGCCCGUACGGGUUCUGUGCCGUAGUUAACGUGUUAAGUGCACCGCCUGGGGAGUAUGCUCGCAAGGGUGAAACUCAAAGGAAUUGACGGGGCCCGCACAAGCGGUGGAGCAUGUGGUUUAAUUCGAUGGUACACGAGGAACCUUACCAGGGCUUGACAUGUGCGUGAAUGUCUGUGAGAGCGGGCAGCCCCCGCAAGGGGCGCGCACACAGGUGCUGCAUGGCUGUCGU